UACAGAGGGGGCAAGCGUUGUUCGGAAUUACUGGGCGUAAAGGGCGCGUAGGCGGCCUGUUAAGUCGAACGUGAAAUCCCCGGGCUCAACCGGGAACUGCGUCCGAUACUGGCAGGCUUGAAUCCGGGAGAGGGAUGCGGAAUUCCAGGUGUAGCGGUGAAAUGCGUAGAUAUCUGGAGGAACACCGGUGGCGAAGGCGGCAUCCUGGACCGGCAUUGACGCUGAGGCGCGAAAGCCAGGGGAGCAAACGGG
rnacentral:rRNA from 1 species